ACCGAUAAAGGCAAACCUGUCGAAAGGCAGGGACGCAAAACCACGGGCCUGUAGCCUUAUAUAAAAAAAACUUAUAUAAGGUAUGGCAGCCGGGUUACCGAAG
rfam:Halothermothrix orenii H 168, complete genome.